GACGAACGCUGGCGGCGUGCCUAAUACAUGCAAGUAGAACGCUGAAGGAGGAGCUUGCUUCUCUGGAUGAGUUGCGAACGGGUGAGUAACGCGUAGGUAACCUGCCUGGUAGCGGGGGAUAACUAUUGGAAACGAUAGCUAAUAUCGCAUAAUAGUAGAUGUCGCAUGACAUUUGCUUAAAAGGUGCAAUUGCAUCACUACCAGAUGGACCUGCGUUGUAUUAGCUAGUUGGUGAGGUAACGGCUCACCAAGGCAACGAUACAUAGCCGGCCGGAGAGGGGGGUCGGCCAACCUGGGACUGAGACAAGGCCCAGAAUCCUACGGGAAGGAGCAGGAGGGAAUCUUCGGCAAUGGACGGAAGUCUGACCGAGCAACGCCGCGUGGGUGAAGAAGGUUCUCGGAUCGUAAAGCUCUGUUGUAAGGGAAGAACGAGUGUGGGAGUGGAAAGUGCACACUGUGACGGUAGCUUACCAGAAAGGGACGGCUAACUACGUG
rnacentral:rRNA from 1 species